rnacentral:lncRNA from 1 species
CCUCUCUUGUCUACUACCUACAUUCAAUCCUCCGCAGAUGUCACUUGAAAAGAAUUUCACUACUUGUGAAAUUUCAUAGUCUAAAAAUAUUUUCUCAAACCCUAAAAAGGAAGCCUUUGAAAAUCUAUUAAAUAUGGGACAAUUCACUAAUUAUAUCACUGAACAUCACACCAACAUACUCAGAUGCUUCUUAUAAAUCAUACACAAAAUGUCAGAG